rnacentral:rRNA from 1 species
CCUACGGGUGGCAGCAGUGAGGAAUAUUGGUCAAUGGGCGCGAUCCUGAACCAGCCAAGCCGCGUGAGGGAAGACGGCCCUAUGGGUUGUAAACCUCUUUUGUCGGGGAACAAAACUCGGGACGAGUCCCGGACUGCGUGUAUCCGACGAAAAAACAUCGGCUAACUCCGUGCCAGCAGCCGCGGUAAUACGGAGGAUGCGAGCGUUAUACGGAUUUAUUGGGUUUAAAGGGUGCGUAGGCGGUCUGUUAAGUCAGUGGUAAAAUGGCGGGGCUCAACCCCGGCGAGCCGUUGAAACUGGCAGACUUGAGUUGGCGAGAAGUACGCGGAAUGCGUGGUGUAGCGGUGAAAUGCAUAGAGAUCGCGUAGAACUCCGAUUGCGAAGGCAGCGUACCGG